rnacentral:rRNA from 1 species
UACGGAGGGGGCUAGCGUUGUUCGGAAUUACUGGGCGUAAAGCGCGCGUAGGCGGCUUUGUAAGUUAGAGGUGAAAGCCCGGAGCUCAACUCCGGAACUGCCUUUAAGACUGCAUCGCUAGAACGUCGGAGAGGUGAGUGGAAUUCCGAGUGUAGAGGUGAAAUUCGUAGAUAUUCGCAAGAACACCAGUGGCGAAGGCGGCUCACUGGCCCGAUACUGACGCUGAGGCACGAAAGCGUGGGGAGCAAACAGG